rnacentral:rRNA from 1 species
UACGUAGGGUGCAAGCGUUAAUCGGAAUACUGGGCGUAAAGCGUGCGCAGGCGGUUUUGUAAGUCUGACGUGAAAUCCCCGGGCUCAACCUGGGAAUUGCGAUGGAGACUGCAAGGCUAGAAUCUGGCAGAGGGGGGUAGAAUUCCACGUGUAGCAGUGAAAUGCGUAGAGAUGUGGAGGAACACCGAUGGCGAAGGCAGCCCCCUGGGUCAAGAUUGACGCUCAUGCACGAAAGCGUGGGGAGCAAACGAGGAU